rnacentral:rRNA from 1 species
UACGGAGGGUGCGAGCGUUGUCCGGAUUUAUUGGGCGUAAAGAGCUCAUAGGCGGUUUGUCGCGUCUGCUGUGAAAACCCGAGGCUCAACCUCGGGCCUGCAGUGGGUACGGGCAGACUAGAGUGCGGUAGGGGAGAUUGGAAUUCCUGGUGUAGCGGUGGAAUGCGCAGAUAUCAGGAGGAACACCAAUGGCGAAGGCAGAUCUCUGGGCCGUAACUGACGCUGAGGAGCGAAAGCAUGGGGAGCGAACAGG